rnacentral:rRNA from 1 species
ACUCAAAGGAAUUGACGGGGGCCCGCACAAGCGGUGGAGCAUGUGGUUCAAUUCGACGCAACGCGAAGAACCUUACCUAGGCUCGAAAGUGCUGGAAGUCCGCUGAAAGGUGGAUGUGCCGCAAGGAACCAGUAUCCAGGUGCUGCAUGGCUGUCGUCAGCUCGUGUCGUGAGAUGUUAGGUUAAGUCCUGCAACGAGCGCAACCCUUGCUACUAGUUGCCAACAUUCAGUUGGGCACUCUAGUGGGACUGCCGGUGUGAAACCGGAGGAAGGUGAGGACGACGUCAAGUCAUCAUGGCCCUUAUGUCUAGGGCUACACACGUGCUACAAUGGCCGGUACAAAGGGUUGCCAACUCGCAAGAGGGAGCCAAUCCCAAAAAACCGGCCUCAGUACAGAUAAGUGUCUGCAACUCGACACUUUGAAGUCGGAAUCGCUAGUAAUCGCUGAUCAGCAAGCAGCGGUGAAUACGUUCCCGGGCCUUGUACACACCGCCCGU